GGUCUGUGGCUCAGUGGUAGAAAGCUUGCCUAGCACAUAUGAGGCAUUGGGUUCAAUCCCCAGCACCA
rnacentral:tRNA from 1 species